GAUGAACGCUGGCGGCGUGCCUAAUACAUGCAAGUCGAGCGAACAGACGAGGAGCUUGCUCCUCUGACGUUAGCGGCGGACGGGUGAGUAACACGUGGAUAACCUACCUAUAAGACUGGGAUAACUUCGGGAAACCGGAGCUAAUACCGGAUAAUAUAUUGAACCGCAUGUUUCAAUAGUGAAAGCCGUUUUUGCUGUCACUUAUAAAUGGAUCCGCGCCGCAUUAGCUAGUUGGUAAGGUAACGGCUUACCAAGGCAACGAUGCGUAGCCGACCUGAGAGGGUGAUCGGCCACACUGGAACUGAGACACGGUCCAGACUCCUACGGGAGGCAGCAGUAGGGAAUCUUCCGCAAUGGGCGAAAGCUUGACGGAGCAACGCCGCGUGAGUGAUGAAGGUCUUCGGAUCGUAAAACUCUGUUAUUAGGGAAGAACAAAUGUGUAAGUAACUAUGCACGUCUUGACGGUACCUAAUCAGAAAGCCACGGCUAACUACGUG
rnacentral:rRNA from 1 species